ensembl:snoRNA SNORA73 Small nucleolar RNA SNORA73 family
UCAACAGUCUACAAGUCUGAGGGCCAUGGGGAGCCUUCGGCUCUGCUCCAUGGUGUGCAGUCUCUCCUCCCAGUGUUGGGGAAUCUGGGUUUUGUGUCUGCACCUGCAUAUGCCUACAGCUUCUUAGUCCUUUGGGCAGUGGUGGAGGAGAUAAGCCUUACAGGAAACAGUA